rnacentral:rRNA from 1 species
GAUGAACGCUAGCGGCAGGCCUAAUGCAUGCAAGUCGAACGGGAUCCAGAUCAAAGCUUGCUUUGGUUUGGUGAGAGUGGCGCACGGGUGCGUAACGCGUGAGCAACCUACCCUUGUCAGGGGGAUAGCCCGGCGAAAGUCGGAUUAAUACCGCAUGAAAUCAUUGAGAGGCAUCUUUCGAUGAUCAACGAUUUAUCGGACAAGGUUGGGCUCGCGGUACAUUAGCUAGUUGGUAAGGUAACGGCUUACCAAUGCUACGAUGUCGAGGGGCUCUGAGAGGAGAAUCCCCCACACUGGUACUGAGACACGGACCAGACUCCUACGGGAGGCAGCAGUAAGGAAUAUUGGUCAAUGAACGGAAGUCUGAACCAGCCAUGCCGCGUGCAGGAAGACGGCCCUAUGGGUUGUAAACUGCUUUUAUACGAGAACAAACGUCGGUACGUGUACCGGUCUGAGUGUACCGUAAGAAUAAGGAUCGGCUAACUCCGUGCCAGCAGCCGCGGUAA